rnacentral:lncRNA from 1 species
ACUAAGAUAUAUAAAAUGCAAUUUUGCAGCAUUUUCUUCAUGAAAAAUGAAACAAUUUUGCAACUUUUGGUUCAUUGAGAAAGAUGUUUGACAACUAGACGUUUCCAAAAACGAUUGCCCUGCGAAAGCGAAGGUGAAGAUAAUUAGCAAGUGAAUCAGCAAUAACCAUCGAUUCAGUUUCACGUCAAAAAUCAGGUCGCCUUCUUAUGAAUUAGUGCCUUUGAAAAUUAUGAGAUCAGCUCGCUUUCUUAUGAAAUUAUUUGGAUAUUAUUCAGUUUUAGGUUGCCUUUAUAUGAAAUUAUUUGGAAAUUAUUCAGUCUUAGUUGCCUUCUCAUGAAUUUUUUUUUUGGGGAAUUUUUCAGUUUCAAGUUGACAUCUUACGUAUGAACAGGAUUUUAAAAGAAGAAAUUAUCCAGUUUCAGUUUGCCUUCGUAUGAAAAUAUUUAUAUUCUUAAUCAGAAAAAUUAGAAUGCCACUGAUCAUCUAUAAAUAAUCGAAACCUCCGUUAACAUUAACAUUAAUAUACGUACGAUAACAAAUCUUUUCUUACAAGUUCGAUCAAUGGAGAAAUCAUAUGGUCUCUUCCUUUUUACUUGCGUUUGUUUCAUUUUAACCAUCGUCCCAACUAGACGUUUCGAAAAAUGAUUGGUCUGCGAAAGCGAAUGUGAAGAUAAUUAGCAACUAAGAUAUAUAAAAUGCAAUUUUGCAGCAUUUUCUUCAUGAAAAAUGAAACAAUUUUGUAACUUUUGGUUCAUUAAGAAAGAUGGUUGACAACUAGACGUUUCUAAAAACGAUUAGCCUGCAAAAGGGAAUGUGAAGAUAAUUAGCAACUAAGAUAUAUAAAAUGCAAUUUUGCAGCAUUUUCUUCAUGAAAAAUGAAACAAUUUUGUAACUUUUGGUUCAUUAAGAAAGAUGGUUGACAACUAGACGUUUCUAAAAACGAUUAGCCUGCAAAAGGGAAUGUGAAGAUAAUUAGCAACUAAGAUAUAUAAAAUGCAAUUUUGCAGCAUUUUCUUCAUGAAAAAUGAAACAAUUUUGUAACUUUUGGUUCAUUAAGAAAGAUGGUUGACAACUAGACGUUUCUAAAAACGAUUAGCCUGCAAAAGGGAAUGUGAAGAUAAUUAGCAACUAAGAUAUAUAAAAUGCAAUUUUGCAGCAUUUUCUUCAUGUAAAAUGAAGCAAUUUUGCAACUUUUGGUUCAUUGAGAAAUAUAUUUGACAACUAAAUGUUUCCAAAAAUGAUUGGCCUGCGAAAGUGAAUGUGAAGAUAAUUAGCAACUAAGAUAUAUAAAAUGCAAUUUUGCAGCAUUUUCUUCAUGAAAAAUGAAACAAUUUUGUAACUUUUGGUUCAUUAAGAAAGAUGGUUGACAACUAGACGUUUCUAAAAACGAUUAGCCUGCAAAAGGGAAUGUGAAGAUAAUUAGCAACUAAGAUAUAUAAAAUGCAAUUUUGCAGCAUUUUCUUCAUGAAAAAUGAAACAAUUUUUUUACUUUUGGUUCAUUGAGAAAGAUGUUUGACAACUAGACGUUUCCAAAAACGAUUGGCCUGCGAAAGCGAAGGUGAAGAUAAUUAGCAACUAAGAUAUAUAAAAUGCAAUUUUGCAGCAUUUUCUUCAUGAAAAAUGAAACAAUUUUUUUACUUUUGGUUCAUUGAGAAAGAUGUUUGACAACUAGACGUUUCCAAAAACGAUUGGCCUGCAAAAGCGAAGGUGAAGAUAAUUAGCAACUAAGAUUUAUAAAAUGCAAUUUUGCAGCAUUUUCUUCAUGAAAAAUGAAACAAUUUUUUUACUUUUGGUUCAUUGAGAAAGAUGUUUGACAACUAGACGUUUCCAAAAACGAUUGGCCUGCAAAAGCGAAGGUGAAGAUAAUUAGCAACUAAGAUUUAUAAAAUGCAAUUUUGCAGCAUUUUCUUCAUGAAAAAUGAAACAAUUUUUUUACUUUUGGUUCAUUGAGAAAGAUGUUUGACAACUAGACGUUUCCAAAAACGAUUGGCCUGCAAAAGCGAAGGUGAAGAUAAUUAGCAACUAAGAUAUAUAAAAUGCAAUUUUGCAGCAUUUUCUUCAUGAAAAAUGAAACAAUUUUUUUACUUUUGGUUCAUUGAGAAAGAUGUUUGACAACUAGACGUUUCCAAAAACGAUUGCCCUGCGAAAGCGAAGGUGAAGAUAAAUAGCAAGUGCAUCCGCAAUAACCAUCGAUUCAGUUUCACGUCAAAAAUCAAGUCGCCUUCUUAUGAAUUAGUGCCUUUGAAAAUUAUGAGAUCAGUUCGCUUUCUUAUGAAAUUAUUUGGCUAUUAUUCAGUUUUAGGUUGCCUUCAUAUGAAAUUAUUUGGAAAUUAUUCAGUCUCAGUUGCCUUCUCAUGAAUUUUUUUUUUGGGGAAUUUUUCAUUUUCAGGUUGACAUCUUACGUAUGAACAGAAUUUUAAAAGAAGAAAUUAUCCAGUUUCAGUUUGCCUUCGUAUGAAAAUAUUUAUAUUCUUAAUCGGAAAAAUUAGAAUGCCACUGAUCAUCUAUAAAUAAUCGAAACCUCCGUUAACAUUCAUAUCAAUAUACGUACGAUAACAAAUCUUUUUUUACAAGUUCGAUCAAUGGAGAAAUCAUCUGCUCUCUUCCUUUUUUUACGGCACGAAGCACGGCACGGCACGAGCACGUCUUGGUAGAGCACGCGGCACGGCACGACACGCACGUGGGCUGUGCCGGGCUUAGAUUUUAGGCACGCGGGCCUUAAAAGCACGGCACGAUUAGAUAUGGGCCAAAGUACGGUACGCGAAAAAGCACGCAAUAAGCACGUUUUAUUUUUUAAUGAAAAUAAACUUAAAAUUUUAUUAUUUUAUAAAUAACUUGAAAUUGAAUCUUUUAAUAUCUUUAUUGGCUCAGUGAUUUUAUAAAUAUGUAUUAAUAUUAUUAUAAACUAUGAUAUAUGACUUUACGUAAUUCCAAGUUAACAAUUAAGUUACCCCUUAAAAAAAAUUAUUAUUAUUGUUAUUGUUAAGUGCUAAAAAGGAAUUCUAAUACCAUAGAGUCAAACUUAACAACUAAUAUUACAUUAUCUUAUUAUUAUUAAUUUAUUAUUAUUAAAUAUGAACUUGAGUUUUGAAUUUUUUAUUCUAUUAAAUUUAAAUAAAGGCAUAUGGAUCCAAAAAAAAUACAUAAGCUUGAAAAAAAAAUAAGACAACAACUUGGCAUACGCUCUUAAAAAAAUAAAAAAAUAAAAAAGUUUAGUGGGCUAUUUUUCCUAGGCACGGCCCAUGGCACGGCACGUGUGGGCACGGCACGAGUGGGCACAAGCACGAGCAUGUGUGGGCACGGCACGUGUGCCGGGUUGGCACGGCACGGCACGACACGAAAUUAAAAAAAAAUGCCCACUCCAUGCUGAAAUUUCUUUCUUGUUUAUUAUUAUCAUUAUUAUUUUCUAGUUUUAUUAUUAUUAUUUUCUUUUUUGGGUCCAAAAAGUGGUUCUUCGGACAGUCUAAUGAAAACCUGUAACUGAUCCAAAAGACUUAAAACUGAUCCAUUGAACAAAAACUAUCAAUAACAUAUAUAUUAAUAAGAAAAAAAAAAACUCAGUUUUGGGGAAACAAAAAAGGUUGAGAAAAAAAGGGUUAUUAUUCAGCCAUUCUUCACUUUUUACUUCUUAUAAUAAGAUCAUGGGUCAAACCUCCAUCCUAUGCAAAUGACUAUUUUUCUUUUUCUAUUAUUUUUUUAUAUUUUUAGGAGAAAAGGAAUCAGAAAAUAAUUGUUAUAAGAACUAGGCAUGAAUCAUAAAUUCGUAAAUUAUCCCUGAUCCCUGUUCAUUCAAUCGUUUGUUUCUCCAAUCGCGGCAAGUUCAGCUUAAAGGAGAAAGAGUUUGUAAUUGUAGGGAUGUCAAAGGGAUAAAUUAUAUGAUGUUUAAUUUGGAUAUGUCAUUGUCUAUUUAUGAAAUUUCACAAAUUUUUAAAAAAAUAUUAAAUAACGGUUUUCUAAAGACUUUCGAAUGGAGGGUGCCAAUAGCAACACUAGUCACAAACUUUUCAGAUUGUAAGGCUAUAAGAUUUAGGGAUGGCAAAUAUCCAAUGAUGGACGGAUAUUAUCCAUCCAAACACAAAUCCAUAAUUAUCCAUAAUGGAUAUAUCUAUAUCCAUAUUCAGUAAUUAAUAUUGGAUAUGGAUAUGAAUUUUAUCCAUAUAAUUAUGGAGAUCCAUGGAUAUUUUAUUUUUAUUAUAUAAAAAUAAUAAUAUAAAAUAGUUAAAAUUCUAAUAUUAAAUUUGGCUAUUAAAUUAUUUAUAUUAGUAAUAAUAUAUAUAUAUAUAUAAUAAAAUGGUGGUCCGGUGGUUGGUGGUUGUGGUCCGGCAACUUUCCGGCGAAUUCCGGUGACCUUCCGGCGAAGUCCGGCGGAGGUCCGGCGACCUUCCGUCGAGGUCCGGCGGUGAUUCCGGCGAUGUCCGACGGUGGUCCGGCGAUGUCCGGUGGUGGUCCGGUAAUUUUUACUAGUUAAUAUAAGAGAAUAUUAGAUUUUGUUGUUUUUAUUUUAUUUUAGUUUAACAAUAUAAAUAUUUUUAACUUUAAAUGAAUAAAUUAAUUGGAUUUUGGAUAUCCAUUAAAUAUCCAUACCCAUCCAAUAUCUAAUUGGAUAUUUUUAAAAAUAUCCAUAUCCAUAUCCAAGAAGAUUUUGGAUGGAUAUUAUCUAAUCCAAUUGGAUUGGAUAUAUGGAUAUCCAAUUUGGAUUGACCAAUUUGCCAUCCCUACAUAAAGGGUAUUUUCGGAAAUGCACCUUAAUUUAUGUAAUAAUAAUGCUGUCGUUUUGCUAUUCUAUGCACGUGUCACGCUUUAAUUGCAUGUAAUCAAAAUUGGAAAUCUAGUCCGCAGGACCGUGGCCUUUUUUGCAUGAUCCAACGAGUCUGAUUUGUUAACUCUGCUCCAACUUGAGACCGGUACUCCAAUAAUAAUAAUAUUUUGCUCCGCGACACUCUAAUCUUUUAAUAUAUUUUAUUGGCUCAAGUUUUUUAAAUUUAUUUAAUUCUUAGUUUCAAAAAAAUUAUAAUUGAUUUAUGUUUAUGAUUUAUUAAAUAAAUAAUUGAUAUCAUGAUUUUAAUAAACAAAAUUAUAAAUAUCAUGAUUUUAUAAAUAUGUAUUAAUAUUAUUAUAAACUAUGAUAUAUGACUUUACGUAAUUCCAAGUUAACAAUUAAGUUACCCCUUAAAAAAAAUUAUUAUUAUUGUUAUUGUUAAGUGCUAAAAAGGAAUUCUAAUACCAUAGAGUCAAACUUAACAACUAAUAUUACAUUAUCUUAUUAUUAUUAAUUUAUUAUUAUUAAAUAUGAACUUGAGUUUUGAAUUUUUUAUUCUAUUAAAUUUAAAUAAAGGCAUAUGGAUCCAAAAAAAAUACAUAAGCUUGAAAAAAAAAUAAGACAACAACUUGGCAUACGCUCUUAAAAAAAUAAAAAAAUAAAAAAGUUUAGUGGGCUAUUUUUCCUAGGCACGGCCCAUGGCACGGCACGUGUGGGCACGGCACGAGUGGGCACAAGCACGAGCAUGUGUGGGCACGGCACGUGUGCCGGGUUGGCACGGCACGGCACGACACGAAAUUAAAAAAAAAUGCCCACUCCAUGCUGAAAUUUCUUUCUUGUUUAUUAUUAUCAUUAUUAUUUUCUAGUUUUAUUAUUAUUAUUUUCUUUUUUGGGUCCAAAAAGUGGUUCUUCGGACAGUCUAAUGAAAACCUGUAACUGAUCCAAAAGACUUAAAACUGAUCCAUUGAACAAAAACUAUCAAUAACAUAUAUAUUAAUAAGAAAAAAAAAAACUCAGUUUUGGGGAAACAAAAAAGGUUGAGAAAAAAAGGGUUAUUAUUCAGCCAUUCUUCACUUUUUACUUCUUAUAAUAAGAUCAUGGGUCAAACCUCCAUCCUAUGCAAAUGACUAUUUUUCUUUUUCUAUUAUUUUUUUAUAUUUUUAGGAGAAAAGGAAUCAGAAAAUAAUUGUUAUAAGAACUAGGCAUGAAUCAUAAAUUCGUAAAUUAUCCCUGAUCCCUGUUCAUUCAAUCGUUUGUUUCUCCAAUCGCGGCAAGUUCAGCUUAAAGGAGAAAGAGUUUGUAAUUGUAGGGAUGUCAAAGGGAUAAAUUAUAUGAUGUUUAAUUUGGAUAUGUCAUUGUCUAUUUAUGAAAUUUCACAAAUUUUUAAAAAAAUAUUAAAUAACGGUUUUCUAAAGACUUUCGAAUGGAGGGUGCCAAUAGCAACACUAGUCACAAACUUUUCAGAUUGUAAGGCUAUAAGAUUUAGGGAUGGCAAAUAU